rnacentral:rRNA from 1 species
AACGAACGCUGGCGGCAUGCCUAACACAUGCAAGUCGAACGAAGGCUUCGGCCUUAGUGGCGCACGGGUGCGUAACGCGUGGGAAUCUGCCCUUAGGUUCGGAAUAACAGUUAGAAAUGACUGCUAAUACCGGAUGAUGACGUAAGUCCAAAGAUUUAUCGCCUGAGGAUGAGCCCGCGUAGGAUUAGCUAGUUGGUGUGGGAAAGGCGCACCAAGGCGACGAUCCUUAGCUGGUCUGAGAGGAGGAUCAGCCACACUGGGACUGAGACACGGCCCAGACUCCUACGGGAGGGAGCAGAGGGGAAUAUUGGAGGAUGGGCGCAAGCCUAGUCAAGCAAUGCCGCGUGAGUGAUGAAGGCCUUAGGGUUGUAAAGCUCUUUUACCCGUGAUGAUAAUGACAGUAGCGGGAGAAUAAGCCCCGGCUAACCCCGUG